rnacentral:piRNA from 1 species
UUGUUAUCUAGAAGAUCUCCUGUUUA